CUUCCUCCACUGUGACAUCAACGAGGAAACCCCUGGAAACGGGCAAACACACCUGGCCCUCUUCUGACCCGAUCGGCCAGCAGAACCCGCUCUAUUCACCCAGGCUCCCCUCUUCCCGGUCUGCGCUCUCACGCUGCUUUUCCGCGCUCACCGUGGGAGGCUUUUUGAUGCUGGGAGUUCUGACCAAUUGCAGCCUGCGGGGCGGACUCAGCAAGUUUUGGAUCGGGCCAAUGGCGGGUGACCAGAGGCGGGCGUCAAGGUUGUGUUUGGUUUCCAUGGAGUAUUGUCCAUACGGAGAUUCCCGCACUUGGGACCCGUGUUUACACGUGCAACAUUAAAGUUUAGAGUCUCAUAUUUAA